AAAAUUGACAAAUCGGGCGAAUAAAAUGAACCUUCAGCCCAAUUUCGCAGCGGUAACUGGCCACGGCUGAAGGCGGCGGUACAAUAUUCCGACGUUCAUAACAGGAAACCAAAUUCGAAAAAUCUUCUAAAGGAGGAGGAGGAGGAGGAAGAAGAAGAAGAAGAAGAAGAAGGGCAGCUACUAAAGUAGGUUUUCUUCUUAUUCAAUAAUUUUUUAUAUUAUCAGUCAUCCUAGGUUUUCUAUUUCAAACUUGACCCAGACUCCACUCCUUUGUUGUUCUUUAAAUUUUUAUUCUGGAGCCGCCAUAAUCCGUUUCCUUGAGUAAAAUUAGAAAAUCAGGGGCUUUCCCGAAUUCCUUCUUGGUUCUGAAAUUAGUGUAUAAUUUGUGUGUAUUUGAUAAGGGGAGAGAGAGCGAGAGAUGGAUGAUUAUCAGGAGAUGGAGAGGUUUGGUAUGGAGAAUGAUUACGAUGAUGGUCAAUGGAUUGAUGGCGAGUUUCUUUACCGUAAGCGCAAAGAGAAGAGGUCCCAAACGAAAGACGAUGUUCUUUAUGGUGUGUUUGCGACUGGGUCGGAUUCGGACUCUGAUGGCGAUGGAUUUUCGUCUCGGAAGCGCCGCAAGGACCGCGACUUGUCUAGGAAACCUGACCUCACCAAGCCUGUCAAUUUUGUAUCCACCGGCACCGUCAUGCCUAACCAGGAGAUUGAUAGGAUUUCCAAGGAUGGAGAUACUGACAAUGUGGACGAUGACCGGCCUGGCCUUGGCUUGGGUUCUAGCCCUUCUGGUUCUGGAUUGGGCUUUAAUUCGUCGAGUUCUGACAGAAAUCCCAAUGGGUUUAAGGAAAAUGGUUCCAAUGUUGAUGGAGAUGAAGAUGGCGAUGACUUCUUUUUGCCCACUGCGUUUGGGAGAAUCAUUAAAGAGGGAGCUGAAAGGAGGGAGAGGGAAAGAGUGAAAUCACAGAUAGAGAAGAAAAGUCGAGGUGUAGCCGGGAGCAGAAAAGAUUCUGACCCUGGGAAUGUUGGAGCGUUUGAGAAGCAUACUAAGGGCAUCGGCCUGAAGCUACUUGAAAAAAUGGGAUACAAAGGAGGUGGGCUUGGAAAAAACGAACAGGGGAUUGUAGCUCCCAUCGAAGCUAAAAUGAGGCCUAAGAAUAUGGGUAUGGGUUUUAAUGACUUCAAAGAGGCACCUAAGAUACCUGCUUUGCAGGAACUUGAGGAGAAAACAUUGCCCCAACCAACGACCAAGGCAAAGGAGAGGUUAUGGUCGAAGCAAGUUAGGUCUAAAAAGAAGAAAAACGCAUAUUUAACAGCUGAGGAAUUACUGGCUAGCAAGCAGGACCAGGCAUUGGAGGUUGUCCAAAAGGUGUUUGAUAUGCGUGGCCCUCAGGUGCGGGUGUUGACAAAUUUAGAGAAUCUGAAUGCUGAAGAGAAAGCCAGAGAAAAUGACAUUCCUAUGCCAGAGCUGCAGCAUAAUGUGAGGUUGAUUGUAGAUUUGGCUGAGUUGGAUAUCCAAAAAAUUGAUAGAGAUUUGAGAAAUAAGAAGGAAACUGCACUGAGCUUACAGGAAGAGAAGGAAAAGUUAGAAAUUGAGCUGGCUCGUCAGAAGAAGCAGUUGGAUAGUAUGGAAGAAAUUACGAGGAUGAUAGAACGAAUAGGAGAAGAUAAUUCUGCUGGAACAUUGACAUUAGAUGGACUCGCCAAGUGUUUUAGUGGCUUGCGGAGAAAAUUUGGUGAUGACUACAAGUUAUGUAACUUGUCUUGCAUUGCAUGUUCAUUUGCACUACCUUUGUUUAUUAGAGUAUUUCAGGGCUGGGAUCCUCUUCAAAAUCCUUCUCAUGGUUUAGAAGUGAUAUCGUUGUGGAAGACACUGCUUCAAGAUGAAGACUGUAUUGACAUCUGGGACAUGACAUCGCCUUAUACUCUCCUGGUCUCAGAAGUUGUGCUACCUGCCGUUAGAAUUUCUGGCAUAAAUACUUGGCAGGCUAGGGACCCUGAACCAAUGCUUCGGUUCUUAGAGUCUUGGGAAAAAUUGCUGCCUCCUUCAGUCCUUCAUACCAUAUUGGACAAUGUUGUCAUGCCUAAACUGGCAAGUGCAGUAGAUUUGUGGGAACCUCAGCGAGAUCCUGUUCCUAUCCAUAUGUGGGUACAUCCAUGGCUGCCAUUGUUAGGGCAUAAGCUGGAGGGUAUGUAUCAGGUCAUACGUACGAAGUUGAGUUUUGUUCUCGGUGCUUGGCACCCAAGUGAUGCUUCUGCCUAUACUAUAUUGUCACCUUGGAAAGCUGUAUUUGAUUCUGCUAGUUGGGAGCAGCUUAUGCGUCGCUUUAUAGUACCUAAACUGCAGCUUGUCUUGCAAGAAUUCCAAGUAAAUCCAGGAAAUCAAAAACUUGAUCAGUUUUACUGGGUUACUAGUUGGGCUUCUGCUCUACCUAUCCACCUCAUGGUUGAUAUAAUGGAAAAGUUCUUCUUCUCCAAAUGGCUACAGGUAUUGUAUCACUGGUUAUGUUCAAAUCCAAAUUUCGAGGAGGUUACAAAGUGGUACAUGGGCUGGAAAGAACUCUUUCCAAAGGAGCUUCUGGCUAAUGAAAGUAUCCGGUACCAGCUAAGUUGUGGACUGGAUAUGAUGAAUCAAGCCGUUGAAGGGAUGGAGGUGGUUCAGCCAGGUUUGAAAGAGAAUAUUUCUUACCUUCGGGUUCUUGAGCAACGGCAAUUUGAAGCUCAGCAGAAGGCUGCUGCGCAAGCUAAACAACAAGGCUCAGCUGGAUUGGGUAAUGCUUCUAAUUUGGAUAGUAUGGGUGGUACACUUGAGAUGACUCUAAAAGAAGUACUUGAGGCCCAUGCCCAACAGCACGGUUUGCUCUUUAAGCCUAAACCUGGACGGAUGCACAAUGGGCACCAGAUAUAUGGCUUUGGAAAUAUAAGCAUAAUAUUGGACACUCUAAAUCAAAAAGUGUAUGCCCAAACUGAGGAAUCAUGGUCUCUAGUAUCCCUUGAACGAUUGCUGGACAUGCACGGUAGUUCUACAGCAAAGAGACGGUAGAUGUAAGCUUGACAUAACAUUUUGAAGAAUUUUCCAUAUUGUGAAGCAACUUUAAGCAGUGUUUAGAUUAUGUAGACUGCUUGUACCAUAGGAGAAACUCUAAGCAUUGUGCAGGAUCAUGACACCAUCGAUACAACAUGGCUCGAAAUCAAAAUUCACAAAAAAUUGAUUCACAUUUAGUAGAUGGCAACACGAAUCAACAACUUCCUUUGGCAACGGAUGCAAAUCUCGUUCCAGAAGCUUUCCCUAUGAUCUGUUAUCGCUAUUUCUGAUCAAAAUCACAAUGGCAAAUAACACAGUAUCGCUUUCUGUAUAUAUACAGUAGACAAUGGACGGUCUCUACAAC